rnacentral:rRNA from 1 species
UACGGAGGAUCCAAGCGUUAUCCGGAAUCAUUGGGUUUAAAGGGUCCGUAGGCGGUCUAGUAAGUCAGUGGUGAAAGCCCAUCGCUCAACGGUGGAACGGCCAUUGAUACUGCUGGACUUGAAUUAUUGGGAAGCAACUAGAAUAUGUAGUGUAGCGGUGAGAUGCUUAGAGAUUACAUGGAAUACCAAUUGCGAAGGCAGGUUGCUACCAAUUGAUUGACGCUGAUGGACGAAAGCGUGGGGAGCAAACGGG